AGGACGAACGCUGGCGGCGUGCUUAACACAUGCAAGUCGAACGGUAAGGCCCUUCGGGGUACACGAGUGGCGAACGGGUGAGUAACACGUGGGUGAUCUGCCCUGCACUUCGGGGUAAGCCUGGGAAACUGGGUCUAAUACCGGAUAGGACCAUGGACUUCACGGUUUGUGGUGGAAAGCUUUUGCGGUGUGGGAUGGGCCCGCGGCCUAUCAGCUUGUUGGUGGGGUAAUGGCCUACCAAGGCGACGACGGGUAGCCGGCCUGAGAGGGUGUCCGGCCACACUGGGACUGAGAUACGGCCCAGACUCCUACGGGAGGCAGCAGUGGGGAAUAUUGCACAAUGGGCGCAAGCCUGAUGCAGCGACGCCGCGUGAGGGAUGACGGCCUUCGGGUUGUAAACCUCUUUCAAUAGGGACGAAGCGCAAGUGACGGUACCUAUAGAAGAAGCACCGGCCAACUACGUG
rnacentral:rRNA from 1 species